rnacentral:rRNA from 1 species
GGGCCCGCACAAGCGGUGGAGCAUGUGGUUUAAUUCGAUGAUACGCGAGGAACCUUACCAGGGCUUAAAUGUAAGUUGCAUUAGUUAGAGAUAGCUAUUUCUUCGGACCACUUACAAGGUGCUGCAUGGUUGUCGUCAGCUCGUGCCGUGAGGUGUCAGGUUAAGUCCUAUAACGAGCGCAACCCCUGUUGUUAGUUGCCAGCGAGUCAUGUCGGGAACUCUAACAAGACUGCCGGUGCAAACCGUGAGGAAGGUGGGGAUGACGUCAAAUCAUCACGGCCCUUACGUCCUGGCUACACACGUGCUACAAUGGUCGGUACAGAGAGCAGCCACUACGCGAGGGGGGAGCGGA